rnacentral:rRNA from 1 species
AGAGUUUGAUCCUGGCUCAGGAUGAACGCUGGCGGCGUGCCUAAUACAUGCAAGUCGAGCGAACGGACGAGAAGCUUGCUUCUCUGAUGUUAGCGGCGGACGGGUGAGUAACACGUGGAUAACCUACCUAUAAGACUGGGAUAACUUCGGGAAACCGGAGCUAAUACCGGAUAAUAUUUUGAACCGCAUGGUUCAAAAGUAAAAGACGGUCUUGCUGUCACUUAUAGAUGGAUCCGCGCUGCAUUAGCUAGUUGGUAAGGUAACGGCUUACCAAGGCAACGAUGCAUAGCCGACCUGAGAGGGUGAUCGGCCACACUGGAACUGAGACACGGUCCAGACUCCUACGGGAGGCAGCAGUAGGGAAUCUUCCGCAAUGGGCGAAAGCCUGACGGAGCAACGCCGCGUGAGUGAUGAAGGUCUUCGGAUCGUAAAACUCUGUUAUUAGGGAAGAACAUAUGUGUAAGUAACUGUGCACAUCUUGACGGUACCUAAUCAGAAAGCCACGGCUAACUACGUGCCAGCAGCCGCGGUAAUACGUAGGUGGCAAGCGUUAUCCGGAAUUAUUGGGCGUAAAGCGCGCGUAGGCGGUUUUUUAAGUCUGAUGUGAAAGCCCACGGCUCAACCGUGGAGGGUCAUUGGAAACUGGAAAACUUGAGUGCAGAAGAGGAAAGUGGAAUUCCAUGUGUAGCGGUGAAAUGCGCAGAGAUAUGGAGGAACACCAGUGGCGAAGGCGACUUUCUGGUCUGUAACUGACGCUGAUGUGCGAAAGCGUGGGGAUCAAACAGGAUUAGAUACCCUGGUAGUCCACGCCGUAAACGAUGAGUGCUAAGUGUUAGGGGGUUUCCGCCCCUUAGUGCUGCAGCUAACGCAUUAAGCACUCCGCCUGGGGAGUACGACCGCAAGGUUGAAACUCAAAGGAAUUGACGGGGACCCGCACAAGCGGUGGAGCAUGUGGUUUAAUUCGAAGCAACGCGAAGAACCUUACCAAAUCUUGACAUCCUUUGACAACUCUAGAGAUAGAGCUUUCCCCUUCGGGGGACAAAGUGACAGGUGGUGCAUGGUUGUCGUCAGCUCGUGUCGUGAGAUGUUGGGUUAAGUCCCGCAACGAGCGCAACCCUUAAGCUUAGUUGCCAUCAUUAAGUUGGGCACUCUAAGUUGACUGCCGGUGACAAACCGGAGGAAGGUGGGGAUGACGUCAAAUCAUCAUGCCCCUUAUGAUUUGGGCUACACACGUGCUACAAUGGACAAUACAAAGGGCAGCGAAACCGCGAGGUCAAGCAAAUCCCAUAAAGUUGUUCUCAGUUCGGAUUGUAGUCUGCAACUCGACUACAUGAAGCUGGAAUCGCUAGUAAUCGUAGAUCAGC